UUUACCUAGCAUUGAAUUUCACUAAAUUACAGAUUAUUCUAAAGACCACUAGUAAAUCAUGAUAUUUUUGGCGUAUUCUGACUCUUAUAUUUAUAGCUAAUAUAUGAGUUAAGUGCAGAGUAUACUUAAUACAUUUUAUUUUUAUUAAAAAAGUCGAAAAAAGUCGAACAAAGUCGACUUUUCUUCGUGGAUCGGUCGACUUUUAAAGUCGACUGUACAGAGUCGAUCGAAAAGUCGAAAGUCGACUUUCUAGUGAAGUCGAACAACCCUACCUCAGUCUUCCUGAACCUGCAUAUCAGAGAAUCAAUUCUCGUCCUGUGAAAGCGUGAAGUAAAAAUAUGUUUCAUCAAAUCAAAUCAUUUGUUGUUGCGAAAAGAAAAUGUAGAUUUUUUGUUUAGAAUGACUUGGUAAAGAGUAAUAUGGAAAAGUCUUUAAUUAUCAAGAAUCAUUUAAAACGCCAAAUUGAAAAAGUAUAGUUUUCACUCAGUUGAAAUCUUCAUUUUCACUUCACCAUUACACAAAAUGAGAAUUGGCUCCUGCUUUCGCUCAUUGAGAACAAGAUAAAUAAUCACCCAUGGCUUUCGGGCUUUCGGACGGGAACGGCGCGUGUUUAAGCAAAUUUUUUCAAUAAAUAGAAUUUAGGUAUUCACACCUGCCUGAUUUUCGGUAAUCUAGUUGUGUAGUUUUAUUUUUAUUCAGUUGAUGACAAUCAAAUAACCUGAACAAAAAAUUAUUUACAACUAGUUAACCUUAUUACCGGGAUGGUAUGAUUAUCUUCAAUAUCUUGUAAGAAAAUGUUGUUUAUAUUAAUAUAUGUAAUAAACGUUUCAUGACGAUUCAGA